GAGGGUAUAGCUCAGUGGCAGAGUGCAUACCUAGCAUGCACAACGUCCUGGGUUCCAUUCCCAGUGCCUCUG
rfam:Camelus ferus unplaced genomic scaffold scaffold1373, whole genome shotgun sequence.